GGUGAACGCUGGCGGCGUGCCUAAUACAUGCAAGUCGAGCGAACAGACGAGGAGCUUGCUCCUCUGACGUUAGCGGCGGACGGGUGAGUAACACGUGGAUAACCUACCUAUAAGACUGGGAUAACUUCGGGAAACCGGAGCUAAUACCGGAUAAUAUAUUGAACCGCAUGGUUCAAUAGUGAAAGACGGUUUUGCUGUCACUUAUAGAUGGAUCCGCGCCGCAUUAGCUAGUUGGUAAGGUAACGGCUUACCAAGGCGACGAUGCGUAGCCGACCUGAGAGGGUGAUCGGCCACACUGGAACUGAAACACGGUCCAGACUCCUACGGGAGGCAGCAGUAGGGAAUCUUCCGCAAUGGGCGAAAGCCUGACGGAGCAACGCCGCGUGAGUGAUGAAGGUCUUCGGAUCGUAAAACUCUGUUAUUAGGGAAGAACAAAUGUGUAAGUAACUAUGCACGUCUUGACGGUACCUAAUCAGAAAGCCACGGCUAACUACGUG
rnacentral:rRNA from 1 species